ensembl:lncRNA
CGGGGGGUCAGGUGCAGCGAUCAGCUCUGGCACAGCAGCACGCUGCCACGGGCAGAACGCACCCAGACCCGCUCCGCUCUGAUAGCGCGGCUCUCCCCACGCUGCUGUCCCUGCAGCCCGCUGUGGGCUCGGGUCCCCCCUCGCCUGUGCUGACACGGCCGCAGCAACCCAUCCCUCGCACCCGACGCUGCUCGCCUGCGUCUCGGUGCGAGGCAAACCCUCCCAAAGCAAACAGCGGUUGCUGCCGUCUGCAGCGACUCAGCUGCGCUGAAGGCAGCGGUCGGAGCGAAGUGCAGCUCGGAGAAGGCUGUGGGGAAGAGCGCGUUGCGUGGCACGUGGCGGGGCAGGAAACGCGCUGCAGCGGGCGAUGCUUUAUCAGGGCAGCCCACCCAGAAGCCGUUCAUCUCCCUGCAGCUGCAGACCUGCGGCUGGGAGCGCUGGGGGCUUUCUCCCAGGGAGGCGAGAGGAACCUGGGCUAUCACGAGGAAACAAGCGCCCGCCCCGUGCCCCCUGUCAGGAAGCAGGGCCUCCUUCCAGCCCGCCGUGUGAGGGGCUCGCAGAUAAGGAGGGGCAGGAAACCUGCCGGGCUUUGCUUCUUUAAGCAAAUAUUUCCCACAGGCUCAGCACCGUGAGUCAGCACUGCCGGAGCCCAGACUUGUUUGCAGCAGCAGCGAGGCGGUGCGGGAGGUGUGGGCUGCGGGAGCCCUUCUGCCCAAACGCCAUCCGGGAUGAAAUGGGGCUAACAGGGAGCAAAAGGCUGAACGGUGCUCGUGGACUCGUUCUGCACCGACCUGCCAGUCUGCAGGCCCCAAAAAUACAGGCACGGCCCAAAGGUUUCUAUUCAGGGCUCAGCAGUGGAAUAAGGAACAUGAGCCGUGGGAUAUCCCGUGUCACCGCAGGCUGCUCAGCCUGGAAGGGGCUGGUGGCAAAGGGAGGAAACGUCAGAAACGCCAUGGACUAUUUUAGAUCUGCAACCUCAGUUCUGCAAAGGACAGCCUGCUGAUGUGCCACGCUCAGCGAGCAGCGGGGAGGAACCCCACGGCAGGAAGAGAGACAGCCCUCUGCCCUUUGCGUUUCGAUUCCCGGUGUCUGUGUGUGUGGAGGUGAUUUGUCCAUAAUUGUUUGCUUUCUCCGGAGUCCUUUGAAGCGUCUGUCUCCCAACCGGUCCCCUCUUAAGAAUAAAUGCUUCCAAG